GACGAACGCUGGCGGCGUGCUUAACACAUGCAAGUCGAACGGAAAGGCUCCAGCUUGCUGGAGUACUCGAGUGGCGAACGGGUGAGUAACACGUGGGUAAUCUGCCCUGCACUCUGGGAUAAGCCUGGGACACUGGGUCUAAUACUGGAUAUGACCUUUCUCCUUAUGGGGUUUGGUGGAAAGUUUUUCGGUGUAGGAUGAGCCCGCGGCCUAUCAGCUUGGUGGUGGGGUGAUGGCCUACCAAGGCGACGACGGGUAGCCGGCCUGAGAGGGUGAUCGGCCACAUUGGGACUGAGAUACGGCCCAGACUCCUACGGGAGGCAGCAGUGGGGAAUAUUGCACAAUGGGCGGAAGCCUGAUGCAGCGACGCCGCGUGAGGGAUGACGGCCUUCGGGUUGUAAACCUCUUUCAGCAGGGACGAAGCGUAAGUGACGGUACCUGCAGAAGAAGCACCGGCUAACUACGUG
rnacentral:rRNA from 1 species